CUGUCUCUCUUUAAGCACCUCCCAUCAUCACCCUCUCAAUUUCUCUCUGCACGCCUUCAUUCCACCUCUCGCCAACAAACCAAACCAUUAAGCCAUAAUUAAAUUGAAUUUGCUACUACCAUACCAUCAUAGUGAUUCAUAGCACUGAAUUUUUGUUGCUAGCUCCACAUCAUGGGUCUGGAAAUCCUAGACGAAUUUCGGCCAAUUAUGUCCAUCCGAACAGUUCCUGUUCCUACGGUUGUUAGAAGCUGCAGCCAACGCGCGGAGGUAGAGAAGGAGGAGCUGCUGCAAGAGUGCCACACACCCACAUCAUCAAAACCUCAAACGUUGUUGGUUUGUCCACCACCUCCAAAGAAACCACGAGUGUCCAGAACCACAAGGACAACUUUUCCUUCUCAUUCUCAAGCCUUCUUUCAAGUCCCACACGAUCUUGCUUCUGUCUUUCUGCUUCGCGCCAAACCUUCCACCCUAACAACAACAUCCGAGGAAGCUCUUUGCUAGCUACCUACAACACUUCUCUCCCAAUGGAAGGGUGGUAGAUGGAUCUGGAACUGGAACUGGCUAAAAGAGUUAGAAUCAUGCAUGCAUAUACAGGAAGUUUUAAUUAGUUAUGAAAUUUUAUAAUAGUCAAGUUAAAAUUUUAA